rnacentral:rRNA from 1 species
UACGGAGGAUGCGAGCGUUAUCCGGAUUUAUUGGGUUUAAAGGGUGCGUAGGCGGGCUUUUAAGUCAGCGGUAAAAAUUCGGGGCUCAACCCCGUCCGGCCGUUGAAACUGGGGGCCUUGAGUGGGCGAGAAGAAGGCGGAAUGCGUGGUGUAGCGGUGAAAUGCAUAGAUAUCACGCAGAACCCCGAUUGCGAAGGCAGCCUUCCGGCGCCCUACUGGCGCUGAGGCACGAAAGUGCGGGGAUCGAACAGG